rnacentral:rRNA from 1 species
CGGAGGGUGCGAGCGUUGUCCGGAAUCACUGGGCGUAAAGGGCGCGUAGGCGGCCUGAUAAGUAGGGGGUGAAAUCCUGCGGCUUAACCGCAGGGCUGCCUUCUAAACUGUCAGGCUAGAGCACAGUAGAGGCAGGUGGAAUUCCCGGUGUAGCGGUGGAAUGCGUAGAGAUCGGGAAGAACAUCAGUGGCGAAGGCGGCCUGCUGGGCUGUUGCUGACGCUGAGGCGCGACAGCGUGGGAGCAAACAGGAUU